UACGAAGGGGGCUAGCGUUGCUCGGAAUUACUGGGCGUAAAGGGAGCGUAGGCGGACUGUUAAGUUAGAGGUGAAAGCCCAGGGCUCAACCUUGGAAUUGCCUUUGAUACUGGCAGUCUUGAGUACGGAAGAGGUAUGUGGAACUCCGAGUGUAGAGGUGAAAUUCGUAGAUAUUCGGAAGAACACCAGUGGCGAAGGCGACAUACUGGUCCGUUACUGACGCUGAGGCUCGAAAGCGUGGGGAGCAAACAGGAUUAGAUACCCUGGUAGUCCACGCCGUAAACGAUGAGUGCUAGUUGUCGGCAUGCAUGCAUGUCGGUGACGCAGCUAUCGCAUUAAGCACUCCGCCUGGGGAGUACGGUCGCAAGAUUAAA
rnacentral:rRNA from 1 species